rnacentral:lncRNA from 1 species
UUUCUACCCCAAGAUGCCGCCCCAGAUCCGGGAUGGAGACCCAGACGCCCGCCCUCAGAGUGCAGCAGGACGAUUUGUUUCAAAGUCACAAACAGGUGCUCUGUAAUGUCCACUGGAUGGAUGGAUGAAAUGGGGUAAGAAAGAAAAUCCUUAGGAUCAUUCCUCAAAAAAACAAACAGCAGCCUAAAGCAGAAAAUGGAUGAAAUUACACACCUCCUGUGCUGUUUGAACCGCGUUGGUCUGGAUUUUCUUCUGUCUCUGCCACCCCCAAAGACAGCAACACCAACUCCUCCCUUCCUCCUCAUCCUUAGCCUACUCAAUGUGAAGAUGACAAGGAAGACCUUCAUGAUGAUUCACUUUUACUUAAUGAAUGCCUUUCUCUGCCUUUAUGCCAUGGAAUGACACAGUAAGAAGGCUCUUUCUUGCCAGAUGCCAGCCACUCAAUCUUGGACUUCCCAG